rnacentral:rRNA from 1 species
GGCUUUUUGAUUUACUUUAAAGUCUGGCCUGCCCAAUGAUUGUUUGAAUGGCCGCGGUAUUUUGACCGUGCUAAGGUAGCAUAAUCAUUAGUUUUUUAAUUGAAGACUGGAAUGAAAGGUUUGAUGAAAAAACUUCUGUCUCUAAAUAAUUUAAUUUGAAUUUUAUUUUUAAGUCAAAAAGCUUAAAUGUUUUUGAAAGACGAUAAGACCCUAUAGAGUUUUAUUAAUAACUUAAUUUUCCAUUUUGGUAUAUAUUUUGUUUAAUUAAGAUUUUAAUUUGAUUGGGGUGAUUAGAAAAUUUACGUAACUUUUCUUUUAAUAAACAUUAGUAAUUGAUUAAAUGAUCCACUAUUUGUGAUUAUAAUAAUAAAUUACCUUAGGGAUAACAGCGUAAUUUUUUUUGAGAGUUCUUAUCGAAAAAAUAGAUUGCGACCUCGAUGUUGGAUUAAGAUAAAUUUUUGGUGCAGGAGCUAAAAUAUUAAGUCUGUUCGACUUUUAAAAUCUUACA